rnacentral:rRNA from 1 species
CUAACACAUGCAAGUCGAACGGUCACAGAACUAGCUUGCUAGUUGCUGACGAGUGGCGGAGGGGUGAGUAACGCGUAGGGAUCUGCCUAACAAUGGGGGAUAACGUGUGGAAACGCACGCUAAUACCGCAUACGCUCUACGGAGGAAAGUGGGGGAUCUUCGGACCUCAUGCUGUUAGAUGAACCUGCGUCGGAUUAGCUAGUUGGUAAGGUAAGAGCUUACCAAGGCGACGAUCCGUAGCUGGUUUGAGAGAAUGAUCAGCCACACUGGGACUGAGACACGGCCCAGACUCCUACGGGAGGCAGCAGUGGGGAAUAUUGCACAAUGGAGGAAACUCUGAUGCAGCAAUGCCGCGUGUGUGAAGAAGGCCUUAGGGUUGUAAAGCACUUUCAGACGUGAGGAAAAGUAGACUAUUAAUACUAGUUUGCCCUGACGUUAACGUCAGAAGAAGGACCGGCUAACUCCGUGCCAGCAGCCGCGGUAAUACGGAGGGUCCAAGCGUUAAUCGGAAUUACUGGGCGUAAAGCGCGCGUAGGCGGAUAUUUAAGUCAGAUGUGAAAUCCCUGGGCUCAACCUAGGAACUGCAUUUGAAACUGGAUAUCUAGAGUAUGGUAGAGGUGAGUGGAAUUUCAGGUGUAGCGGUGAAAUGCGUAGAGAUCUGAAGGAACAUCAGUGGCGAAGGCGACUCACUGGGCCAUUACUGACGCUGAGGUGCGAAAGCGUGGGUAGCAAACAGGAUUAGAUACCCUGGUAGUCCACGCCCUAAACGAUGUCAACUCCGUUGGGGGACUUGAUCCCUUAGUGGCGCAGCUAACGCACUAAGUAGACCGCCUGGGGAGUACGGCCGCAAGGUUAAAACUCAAAUGAAUUGACGGGGGCCCGCACAAGCGGUGGAGCAUGUGGUUUAAUUCGAUGCAACGCGAAGAACCUUACCUGGUCUUGACAUCCACAGAACUUUCUAGAGAUAGAUUGGUGCCUUCGGGAACUGUGAGACAGGUGCUGCAUGGCUGUCGUCAGCUCGUGUUGUGAAAUGUUGGGUUAAGUCCCGUAACGAGCGCAACCCUUGUCCUUAUUUGCCAGCACGUAAUGGUGGGAACUUUAAGGAGACUGCCGGUGACAAACCGGAGGAAGGUGGGGACGACGUCAAGUCAUCAUGGCCCUUACGACCAGGGCUACACACGUGCUACAAUGGUAAGUACAAAGGGACGCCAAACCGCGAGGUGGAGCUAAUCCCACAAAGCUUAUCGUAGUCCGGAUUGGAGUCUGCAACUCGACUCCAUGAAGUCGGAAUCGCUAGUAAUCGUGAAUCAGAAUGUCACGGUGAAUACGUUCCCGGGCCUUGUACACACCGCCCGUCACACCAUGGGAGUGGAUUGCACCAGAAGUGGAUAGCUUAACUUCGGGGGAGCGUUCACCA